UACGUAGGGUGCAAGCGUUAAUCGGAAUUACUGGGCGUAAAGCGUGCGCAGGCGGCCAUGCAAGACAGAUGUGAAAUCCCCGGGCUCAACCUGGGAACUGCAUUUGUGACUGCAUGGCUAGAGUACGGUAGAGGGGGAUGGAAUUCCGCGUGUAGCAGUGAAAUGCGUAGAUAUCAGGAGGAACACCGAUGGCGAAGGCAGGUCUCUGGGCUGACACUGACGCUCAUGCACGAAAGCGUGGGGAGCAAACAGG
rnacentral:rRNA from 1 species